rnacentral:rRNA from 1 species
UACGGAGGGUGCGAGCGUUGUCCGGAAUCACUGGGCGUAAAGGGCGCGUAGGCGGCUCGUGAAGUCAAUGGUGAAAGCCCAGGGCUCAACUCUGGGUCGGCCACUGAUACUCGCGAGCUCGAGUUUGGUAGAGGCAGAUGGAAUUCCGGGUGUAGCGGUGGAAUGCGUAGAGAUCCGGAAGAACACCGGUGGCGAAGGCGGUCUGCUGGGCCAAGACUGACGCUGAGGCGCGACAGCGUGGGGAG